rnacentral:rRNA from 1 species
UACGGGGGGGGCAAGCGUUGUUCGGAAUUACUGGGCGUAAAGGGCUCGUAGGCGGCCAACCAAGUCAGACGUGAAAUCCCUCGGCUUAACCGGGGAACUGCGUCUGAUACUGGAUGGCUUGAGUGUGGGAGAGGGAUGCGGAAUUCCAGGUGUAGCGGUGAAAUGCGUAGAUAUCUGGAGGAACACCGGUGGCGAAGGCGGCAUCCUGGACCAUUACUGACGCUGAGGAGCGAAAGCCAGGGGAGCAAACGGG